CCCCAGCUACUUACCAUGAUGAGGGCUUGCCAUGCUCAUGAGCUUCGCUUGAAACCAAAUUGCUAAUUGUGGGACUGACAUUCAUUUUAAGAAAACUGUGACUGAUCAUUUCAAAAGCUAUUGAUGAAAGAAAACCCACAUGCAUCUGCCUACCUUCUUGCCUGAUUAUCAGUUACAAAAAAGAUGUGUUGCUGUUGAUCCUGUUUCAGGAGGAAAUAUAUACAAACUGAAGCUAAAUGUGUGGAAUCCAAGGGGGCCUGCAAACACGAAGAAAUUGAAGUAGGAAGAAAAAUUGCAAGCAGCUCCUCUCUACCGGACUCACCAAAAAGCACAGGCAACACGAACCAAACGGCUCUAGUUCUACCCCAAAUCCCAAUCCCCGCGCGGAGCGGCGAGUGCCCUGAGAUGCUCCGGUCUCCUUAACGGGAUCUACUAUCACGCAGGCACCGGCGCCAGCACAGCCCCGCUCACGCCUGGGAGCCAGCUGAAAAGUAGCCCCGCAACAGCCCCCGACAGUUAUCACGCCGAUGAACACGCUGCCGACGGCCAGGGCACCGCUCCGACAACACCGACGGCCACUCUCAUAUUGCCUCUGUGUGCUACACUGCUGCCGCUGGUCUUAGGCUUGUAUUGUAAGAUCUCUGGGAGGACAGACACCGCAUUUUUAUUCCGUGUUUUUACAGUGACUAGCCCUAAAAUGGCAUUUUUUUGGAUGAAAGGGUGUUGCUUUGAUAGUUACGAAUGGUUACUCUCACGGUGAGAGAUCUUGGCUAUAACAUUAAAUGUAAAUAAUAAUAAUAAAAUGAAAACUUCCACAUACA
rnacentral:lncRNA from 1 species